rnacentral:rRNA from 1 species
UACGAAGGGGGCUAGCGUUGCUCGGAAUCACUGGGCGUAAAGGGUGCGUAGGUGGUGAGGUAAGUUUGAUGUGAAAUCUCCGGGCUCAACCCGGAAAUGGCAUUGAAUACUAUCUUGCUAGAGGAGUGGAGGGGGGACUGGAAUACUUGGUGUAGCAGUGAAAUGCGUAGAUAUCAAGUGGAACACCAGUGGCGAAAGCGAGGUGCUGGACCCUUUCUGACGCUGAGGCGCGAAAGCCAGGGGAGCAAACGGG